rnacentral:other from 1 species
UGCUUUCUGUCCCCGCACGCGGACUGUCCCGUUAUUCUAACCUACGAUUUUUUAAGGGAGCUAGAAAAUAAAGCCGACCACAUGCCUUCUUUGUGUUGGACUUGGAACGUUUUGGAUAUGGUUCCCACCUUCAUUUAUGAGGGUUCGAAAAACUUGGACAAUACGGCGGGGACGGUUUUUUA